rnacentral:lncRNA from 1 species
AAAAUUGCGCCUCGGAGGAUGCCGUCCACGACAUGCAAAUACCCUACUUCCGGGUGCUGAAAGAUAGAGAGAGGACGGACGGGAGGGGGGGGAUUGAAGUCAACAAAAGGAGCGGACGUCGUCAUAUUGAGAUAGAAAAAUAUUUCCGCAUGAAAUUUUUAUUGCCGUUUUGGUACUUUUUCCACAUUAAUUGGGUUUUGUAAUCAAAUGAAAAU